CCUACGGGUGGCUGCAGUGAGGAAUAUUGGUCAAUGGGCGCGAGCCUGAACAGCCAAGUUGCGUGAAGGAUGACUGCCCUACGGGUUGUAAAAUUCUUUUAUAAAGGAGUAAAGUGAGGCAAGUGUGCCUUUUUGUCUGUAAUUUCUGAAUCAGGGUCGGCUAACUCCGUGCCCGCAGCCGCGGUAAUACGGAGGGUCCGAGCGUUAUCCGGAUUUAUUGGGUUUAAAGGGAGCGUAGAUGGGUUGUUAAGUCAGUUGUGAAAGUUUGCGGCUCAAACGUAAAAUUGCAAUUGAUACUGGCAGUCUUGAGUACAGGUGAGGUAGGCGGAAUUCGUGGUGUAGCGGUGAAAUGCUUAGAUAUCACGAAGAACUCCGAUUGCGAAGGCAGCUUACUAAACUGCCACUGACAUUGAUGCUCGAAAGUGUGGGUAUCAAACAGGAUUAGAUACCCCAGUAGUC
rnacentral:rRNA from 1 species